rnacentral:lncRNA from 1 species
GUUUGUCCAGGAUGCUGAGCAAAAGCAGUCUUCAGAGGGAUGGGGAUAUAUUCUAUUAGAUGGCUGCGUGUGCAGAAGAACUGUGUACAUGUGUUGCUAAAUCCAGAAAAAGCUGUGAGCCACAAAACUUGUAUUGUAUUCUGGGAAAAAUGCCAAUAUGUGCAUUCUCUAAAUCCAUAUUGUGCAGUGAGCUAGGAAGAGGUACAGAGGAAAGAGAAGGUGGUAGCGGAAGAAAUCUCUUCUGCACUGAAAUAAUAUGGGUAGAAGAGCUGUUUGGGUGAGCUAAGUUUUCAAACUUUAAGAUCACCAUAUGCCUUUUCUCUUCAAGUAUGAGUAUUCAAUUUUGAUUGCAGCAGGUCAAAAUCCCUCUUUCUCCCUCUCCCCUCCCUCCCCUUCUUCCUCUCCCUCUUCCACCUUCCAUGCAAACAAGGAAGAAAUUUAUACAAUUUGGAGCAAUUUCUUUUUACUUUUUCUUUAACAGAAGCAAGUCAACUGCACCAAAGAAUCACUGAGAGUGUAUACCAUGCACCAAUGGAUUCCUCCAAUGCAAGCAGGUAUAGCAGGAAGUCAUCAAGUAUAUACGAAAACAAAUCUGAGACAUCAAACGUGGAAGCAUCUAACAAUAAAAACAGGAAUUCCAGUCCCAGCGCCAGACAAAAGAGAGGUAGGAGUUCUGAGACAGAGCUUUUUGCUUCUAAAGGGUAAUAUCUUUAUUUUCGCACACUUAUUUCUGGAGUUUGAUGAGGAUAUUUUGAAUGUGUGUUGUUUAAACCCAAAGUCAAAAUAAACAGUGCUACAAAGCUGAGUAAUUGUACCAUGAAACUUCCUGAACACCAAAAAACGUUACCAGUUUAGUUUUUUUUAAGUCUAAGUUUUGAUGCAUUACAGUCCUUUUUUACAACUUGUGGUUUUUAAAAAUAGAAUUGGGGGGGUUGCUAUAGUAUAUGUAUUUUAAUCUUCUAUAUCCUGGCUAAGUUGGUUUCUAGCCAUAUUUAAGAUUGUCUAUGGACUUUGCUAACCAAUUUCCUUGCUUUAUGUCAAAGAGAUUUUUUUUGCCUCCUCUGUGUAUAGGUUCCCCUCUAGUGUAUGGUAAAUAAAGGCACAUACGGUCACAGAAAGUCCCUCCGUUAUUUGAGGGUGUAAAUACAAUAAAUUUAUUCUAUACAAUGUAUGUUAAAAUGAACACUAAAAAGAAACUGGGUCUCAUCUGGCAGUAGCAGGAACAGAAAGUCUUUCAACAGCAGUUUCUCUUUUUAGGUGGUAUUUUGAAAUGUUAGAGCAAAGACUUUUCUAAUAAUACAAAAAAGAAAAUUGCGAGGUCUUAAGAGAUUAACGUCCAAAUCAGGCUUAAAGUAACAGCAGCC